GCCUGAUUGACGCAAUGGCUUAGCGUGUUGGACUUUUAUUAUGGUAUGUCGCAAUAGAAGACUAUCCAAAAGUUGUGGGUUCGAAUCCCACAUCAGGCG
rfam:Pseudomassariella vexata strain CBS 129021 BCR38scaffold_2, whole genome shotgun sequence.